UUCCGGUUGAUCCCGCCGGAGGUUACUGCUAUCGAGGUUCGACUAAGCCAUGCGAGUCGAAUGCCGCAAGGCAUGGCGUACUGCUCAGUAACACGUGGACAACCUACCCUUAGGACUGGGAUAACCCCGGGAAACUGGGAAUAAUCCCCGAUAGUCCUCGAAGGCUGGAAUGCAUCGAGGGCGAAAGCUCCGGCGCCUAAGGAUGGGUCUGCGGCCUAUCAGGUAGUAGUGGGUGUAGCGUACCUACUAGCCUACGACGGGUACGGGUUGUGAGAGCAAGAGCCCGGAGAUGGAUUCUGAGACACGAAUCCAGGCCCUACGGGGUGCAGCAGGCGCGAAAACUUUACAAUGCUGGCAACAGCGAUAAGGGAACCUCGAGUGCCAGGUUACAAAUCUGGCUGUCGAGAUGCCUAAAAAGCAUUUCAUAGCAAGGGCCGGGCAAGACCGGUGCCAGCCGCCGCGGUAACACCGGCGGCUCGAGUGGUAACCGUUAUUAUUGGGUCUAAAGGGUCUGUAGCCGGCCGGAUAAGUCUCUUGGGAAAUCUGGCAGCUCAACUGUCAUGCUAUCGGGAGAUACUGUCUGGC
rnacentral:rRNA from 1 species